CACCAGUCAGGGCUCUACCCAAAUGCCACUUCCUCAGGGAAGACCUCCGGACCUCCCUACAGAGUGUAUGUCCCCAUGGACAUCCUCACUGCCUCUCUGGUGGACUUACCAAGGCCCUGAUUAAAUCAUUGCUGUAUUUAUUUAGUGUCUGAGGGUAGAAGUCAUGUCUGAAAUGCCACCUCGUCUAAUGUGUCCAGAGGAGGCCGGGCAGAUAGAUGGCGCUUCAUCGUGAGUGAGACCGUGAGUGACAGACAGAGGAGGCCGGGUAGAUAGAUGGCGCUUCAUCGUGAGUGAGACUGUGAGUGAGAGAUAGAGGAGGCCGGGCAGAUGGCGCUUCAUCGUGAGUGAGACUGUGAGUGAGAGACAGAGGAGGCCGGGCAGAUAGAUGGCGCUUCAUCGUGAGUGAGACUGUGAGUGAGAGAUAGAGGAGGCCGGGCAGAUAGAUGGCGCUUCAUCGUGAGUGAGACUGUGAGUGAGAGAUAGAGGAGGCCGGGCAGAUAGAUGGCGCUUCAUCGUGAGUGAGAUCGUGAGUGAGAGAUAGAGGAGGCCGGGCAGAUGGCGCUUCAUCGUGAGUGAGACCGUGAGUGAGAGAUAGAGGAGGCCGGGUAGAUAGAUGGCGCUUCAUCGUGAGUGAGAUCGUGAGUGAGAGAUAGAGGAGGCCGGGCAGAUAGAUGGCGCUUCAUCGUGAGUGAGACUGUGAGUGAGAGACAGAGGAGGCCGGGUAGAUAGAUGGCGCUUCAUCGUGAGUGAGACUGUGAGUGAGAGAGGAGGCCGGGCAGAUAGAUGGUGCUUCAUCGUGAGUGAGAUUGUGAGUGAGAGAGGAGGCCGGGCAGAUACACGGCGCCCCAUUGUGAGCCUGUGAUUGAGUGAGUGAGUGAGAUCCUGAGUGAGAUCAUGAGUGAGUGAGAUCAUGAGUGAGUGAGUGAGAUCGUGACUGAGAUCAUGAGUGAGUGAGUGAGAUCAUGAGUGAGUGAGAUUGUGAGUGAGUGAGAUCAUGAGUGAGAUCGUGACUGAGAUCAUGAGUCUGUGAGUGAGAUCAUGAGUGAGUGAGAUCAUGAGUGAGUGAGUGAGAUCGUGAGUGAGAUCAUGAGUGAAAUCGUGACUGAGAUCGUGAGAUCCUGAGUCUGUGAGUGAGUGAAUGAGAUCGUGAGUCAGUGAGAUCGUGAGUGAGAUCGUGAGUGAGAUCAUGAGUGAGUGAGUCUGUGAGUGAAUGAGAUCGUGAGUCUGAGUGAGUGAGAUUGUGAGUGGGAUCAUAAGUGAGUCUGUGAGUGAGUGAGUGAGUCUGAGUGAGUGAGAUCGUGAGUGAGUCUGAGUGAGUGAGAUCGUGAGUGAGUCUGAGUGAGUGAGAUUGGGAGUGGGAUCAUAAGUGAGUCUGUGAGUGAGUGAGUGAGUCUGAGUGAGAGACCUUCCUCUAGGAUCGAGGAGAACAGGAGCAGAAAGAAGAGCUGGAGGUAGGUCCAGGGAACCAGCAGCUGGGGCAUCCCUGUCCCCAUCCCCCCGAGGGCAGAGGCUGACCUGGUCGAGGGCCGUGAGGGCGCAGGGCUGUGUCAGGGCCAGCCUGGAGUCCACUAGCCCGCCCAGCGGCGGCUCCUUCCCCGGGAUGCUGUUGUAGUAAUUGUGCUCCAAAGAGUCCUCCUCGUCCCCCCAGGCCGACUCCUCCGGCCCCGCCAGCCUGGGGGACAGACAACAACGGCCAUGGCACAGGCAGGGCCCAAGGGGGCUAAAGCCUUAUGGCUUGAGCUUCUGGGGGAGCAGGAAAUAUCUGAGUUCGAAUCCCAGCCCCCCACCUGUCACUGAGGGUUCCUACCAGGAAACGCUUCUAGAGCCAGUGACCAGGCCCACUACUUCCUCAUCUAUAAAAUGGAAUGUUGCACACAUUUCCGAGCUGUGGCACAAAAGGCAGGUCGUUGGCAAACCCAGUCUCCACUCCUUUCUGCCCACCUCCGGCCCCGCCCGGCAGCAGAGGACAUG
rnacentral:lncRNA from 1 species